rnacentral:rRNA from 1 species
AGAAUCAACGCUGGCGGCGUGCCUAACACAUGCAAGUCGAACGAGAAAGUGGAGCAAUCCAUUAGUAAAGUGGCGCACGGGCGAGUAACACGUGACUAACCUACCCUUGAGUGGGGGAUAACCUAGGGAAACCUGGGCUAAUACCGCAUAAUACCUUCGGGUCAAAGGAGCAAUUCGCUUAAGGAGGGGGUCGCGGCCGAUUAGUUAGUUGGCGGGGUAAUGGCCCACCAAGACGAUGAUCGGUAUCC